rnacentral:rRNA from 1 species
UAUCCAUUGGAGGGCAAGUCUGGUGCCAGCAGCUGCGGUAAUACCAGCUCCAAUAGCGUAUAUUAAAGUUGUUGCAGUUAAAAAGCUCGUAGUUGGACUUGUGUGCGCUGUCCGCGGGUGGCCUGCGCCCAAAAGGGCGUUUCGGUUCGGCCCCGGUGGCGCCUUGAAAUCUGCAGCUGGGGGGACGUUGGCCUUAACUGGUCGGCGACCGCACGCCGGCUGCUCGGUUACUGUGAGAAAAUUAGAGUGUUCAAGGCAGGCAUUGGGUGCAAUUGAAUACAUUAGCAUGGAAUAAUAAAAUAUGGCUCCUGCCGUAUUUUGUUGGUUUUGACUGGUGGGAGUAAUGAUUGAUAGGGACGGUUGGGGGUGCUAGUAUUGAGCGGCCAGAGGUGAAAUUCAUGGAUUCGCUCAAGACUAACUUAUGCGAUAGCAUUCACCAAGGACGUCCUCUUUAAUCAAGAACGAAAGUUGGGGGAUCGAAGACGAUCAGAUACCGUCGUAGUCUCAACCAUAAACUAUGUCGACUUGGGAUCGGCGGUAGUUUUUUCAUUAAGACACUGUCGGGACCACGGGAGAAAUCAAAGUGUCUGGACUCUGGGGGAAGUAUGGUCGCAAGGCUGAAACUUGAAGGAAUUGACGGAAGGGCACCACCAGGAGUGGAGCCUGCGGCUUAAUUUGACUCAACACGGGGAAACUUACCAGGUCCAGAGAUGUAGAGGAUUGACAGAUUGAAGCUCUUUCUUGAUCACUUCGGUGGUGGUGCAUGGCCGUUCUUAGUUGGUGGAGUGAUUUGUCUGGUUAAUUCCGUUAACGAACGAGACCUCAGCCUGCUAGUGUAGUCGGCUGGAUUGCCUUUGGCGAUCCGUGAUUUCGACUUCUUAGAGGGACAAUCGACGCGCAGUCGAUGGAAGUUUGAGGCAAUAACAGGUCUGUGAUGCCCUUAGAUGUUCUGGGCCGCACGCGCGCUACACUGCUGGGCUCAGCGAGUUUUACUUGGCCGAGAGGCCCGGUUAAUCUUGUGAAAUCCCAGCGUGCUUGGGCUCGCCUCCUGCAACUGGAGGCGCCAACGAGGAAUUCCUAGUAGACGCAGGUCAUCAACCUGCAUCGAUUACGUCCCUGCCCUUUGUACACACCGCCCGUCGUUCCAUAAGAGUGAGGCAUCCGGUGAAUUCUCGGGAGAGCCUGGGCGUGGCCAGCAAUGGUCUGCUCGGGUUUGAACUUGCAUAAACUUGGUGCCUAUGAUUAGGG